rnacentral:misc_RNA from 1 species
GCUUGUUGCUCCAUAGCCUGUAACCGAAGUUUGAGUUCCUUAUUUUCCACAGUUAAUCCACUUGUAUCUCUCUGUAGAAUCGUCACCUGCGCAGACAGAGUGGUAGCUUCGGACUGCAGAGUCUGAACCUUUCUCUCCAGCUCAUUCGUGUACCGUAUCUUCCUCUCUUUCGAACGAGCUGCAGAUUGUCUGUUCGCUAGAAUCCUUUUAGCUCUUUUCGGGUCAAUUAGGGCAAGCUCCGCAAGUCUCUCCGGGUCCAUU